CGCUUUUGUGCUUACGCGGUUCUGUCAUCUGUGCCUACUGACAGAAGCAAUCAUUCUCUAUUUUUCUUUCUCUACCAUUUUCCUUAGAAAAUUUUCCUAACACCAAUUUUCCCGAGAAAAAUUCAAUGGAAUUAGCAGCUCAGCGACGCCUCAAAGCUAUUCAGGGCCAUUUCCUAUCCUCCAGCACCAACGAUCACUCACCUCUCCAAGCUAACCUCACUGCUUCGCAGUUUUUCAACGGUCAAGGGUACAGCGUAGUUCUUCCAGAGAAAUUGCAAACUGGGAAGUGGAAUGUCUACAGGUCUGUGCGAUCUCCGAUGAAGCUUAUAACCAGGUUCCCCAAUCAUCCUGCAAUUGCGACAUUGCACGAUAACUUUGUGCAUGCUGUUGAAACUUUUCAAGAUUACAAGUACUUGGGCACACGAAUUAGACCGGAUGGAACAGUUGGAGGGUACACAUGGAUGACAUAUGGAGAAGUAGGAACUGCUAGAGAGGCAAUAGGGUCUGGGCUUUAUCAUCAUGGGAUACAAAAUGGAGCUUCCAUUGGAAUCUAUUUUAUAAAUAGACCAGAGUGGCUGAUUGUGGAUCAUGCUUGUGCAGCAUAUUCGUAUAUUUCAGUUCCAUUGUAUGACACUCUUGGUCCUGAUGCAGUUGAGUAUGUUGUGAAUCAUGCUGGUGUGCAGGCAAUCUUUUGUGUCCCAGAGACUUUGAACACUUUGUUGAGCUUCCUAUAUAAGAUGCCAUCUGUGCGACUUAUAGUGGCAGUGGGAGGUGAUGAUGGACACUUACAAGCUCUUCCUUCAAUAUCUGGAGUGAAGCUCAUAUCAUAUCUAAAACUGCUUAGUGAGGGCCACAGCAACCGGCAACCUUUUAUUCCUCCUAAACCAGAGGAUGUUGCAACCAUAUGUUACACCAGUGGUACUACUGGGACACCAAAGGGAGUAGUCCUGACUCAUGGAAACUUGAUUGCAAGUGUUGCUGGUUUAAGUCUCGCAAUCAAAUUCAAUCCCUCAGAUAUUUACAUAUCCUAUCUUCCUUUGGCACAUAUCUAUGAACGAUCAAACCAAAUUAUAUCAGCAUACUAUGGUGUUGCUAUUGGCUUCUAUCAAGGGGACAAUCUGAAAUUGAUGGAUGAUUUGGCUGCUCUAAGGCCAACAAUAUUUUGUAGUGUUCCUCGGUUGUAUUACCGUAUAUAUGAUGGAAUUACAAAUGCUGUGAAGACUUCUGGGGUUUUAAGGGAGAGGCUAUUUAGAGCUGCCUACAACUCAAAGAUGCAUGCCAUAAUGAGUGGUAUGCAUGCCAAUGACUAGACUCUUAGCAUUACAUCAUGAAAAUCUUCUUACUGGGACCUCAUUCAGAAUGCCAGUAGAAUGCAGAAAUGAUAAUAUGUACAUACAAUUUAUUUUUUUAUUGAAGUCUUAUAGUACAUUAUUCCUAAUUAUCUAUUAUAAAAUUUUUGAAAGGAGGUCCUUGCAUCAACUGCUAGGUUUACUCAAAAUAGUUGGUAAGAAUAUGUGAAUGCAUGCUCGUUCCUGUUUAGUGCUUUGUUGUUUAUGUUCAAGUUGACUGUUUCAGGCCGCAAUCCAUCACCAAUGUGGGACAAAUUGGUAUUUAAUAAAAUAAGAGCAAAGUUAGGGGGACGAGUUCGUUUCUUGGUAUCAGGUGCUUCACCUUUAUCACCUGAGAUAGUGGACUUUCUAAGGGUGUGUUUUGGCUGUCCAGUAGUUGAGGGAUAUGGAAUGACUGAGACUUCU
rnacentral:misc_RNA from 1 species